AAAUGACGGAAGCUCUCAAAUGGUGUGAUUAAAUUUAGAUAAACCAGGAUAAUCCCCACGCCGGAUCCUUAACUGAAUCACAUCUGCAUCAUCCUUUUUCCCUGCAAAUUAACAGGUGAGAGCUCUAGGGAUUAGGACCUAAUAUCUUUGGUUUGUUGUUUUUCACUCUACCACAAUCUGGAAGGGAUAAAAUUCCAAGUGGUCAUGGUCAUCUGGAUACCACAACAGAACUAUAAAAAGGGAGCUGUAAGGAGAAGGCUGUGGAAUCCACACAUUUGUGGAAGCUGCUACCUAGAGGGGAAUUGCCAUCUGUGAGGAAGUGGCUGUCUCUGUGGAAAAUGGUUUCUCCACAAAGCCCACUGUCUCUCGGGAAUCACGUUUCUGUGGAAGCUGCUGCUUUGUGGGACUGCAGUCAUGACUCUGGGGUAGAGCUGGAGGUGCUGUGGGUUGGCAGAGUAAGAAGUCAGAAAGACGAAGUAACUGGAUGUGGAGAAGGAGGAGAUAGAUGAUGACGUGGAGUCUACCUGGCACUUCAGCAUCCACCUGUUGUUCUGUUUGACCUCAGCAUCCUUCUGAGAGUAACGAUCUCUGUCUUGGUUUUAUCUUUCAGAGUUCCCCUCAUGGCCCAGUUCUGAUAAACACAGGGAAAGGGAUUUGUGCGAAAUGGAUUUCCCAGACAGGAAUUUUGGUGCUAGUUUGACCACAGAAAAAUCCAGCAUAUUCCACAUUUCUGCUGACAUUUAGUAUUGCCAGCCUUUAAUUUCACCCAUUUUGGACUUCUAGUAGACAGUAGAGGUUACUGAAUAAAAAUUACUGACAAAGGCCAUUCUGAUCUUGUUCCAGAGCUCAAAAGAGGAAACAUUCACUUUUUUACCAAAGUGUCCCAAUCCUGUCUGUAUACAGAGGAGCUGCAGCCUAUCAGAGGCCUCAGAUAAGUACAGACAUGGCUGCAAGACUGAAAGUCUUUCUUCCUCUUAUCUCUCUUCCUUUUUUCUCAUUUCUCUAUAACUCUCAAUGAGAGGAAGUUUUAAAAAUUGUUUUGGUUAGUGCCAGGCAAAGGGACACAGAUCCCUAACAAUACAUGUGCAGAUAUAACAUAGAAUUUGUUGGAGAAUCACCUUCAAGCAGAGAAAGACGAGAAGGACACCAUCCCCACACACUCACUUUUCCACAAUAGUGGUCUGGCAUAAAUGUUCUGUAUGUGUCAUGGCAAAGGUCCUGACAGAGUGGAUUUGCCUUUGCUGGGAGACUGUAUGUACGCAAAGCACUCCUAGAGAGAGACAGAGGAUAAGGCCCACUCUGUAACUCUGUUAGUUAGGGGUAAGUUAACCUAAGAGGAGUUAGGGAGCAUCUAGUUUCUUUAGCAGCAAGAAACACAGUAAGGGAUCUGGGGCCCAGAAACCACACCAGGAAGUAUGCACACUGAUGGCCGAGGUGGGUAUACCAAAGGCCCUAGAAAUUGCUUUGUAGUCCAGGAAAGCUGAAAUAAGUCUUGCUGUCUCUCUUUAGACUGCCUCAACCUUUUUGAGCCAGCUCCCAGCUAAAGUAUACCAAAAGGGUCAUGCAAGCCAGGAUCUUAUAAAGUCCACUCAGCAUUCUCAGGAGGCCAGGAUCUGUGCAUUUACUGAUCAAGGGUACAAAGUGAAGAUGGGUGCUUGGGAAUCAUUGUUUUUGACCAAUCCUAGGCUGCUGAGCUCACACCCCUGGAACAAGGGUAGCCGUUAGUGCUGCCUGGAAACCAUUACCGUUCCAGCUUCAUAACAGAAGAGCCUUGUCUAUGAGCUUUGGAGAUGGAGAGCGAAAGGAUUGAGAAUAGGGAUGGGAUGGAGGUUGUCGAGCAGAAGAUCAAGAGACCAGGUGUAGUAACGAAGAAAAUGCUAGUCAUGUCAAGUAUGCUAUGUGGAGGCAUCGCUUUUCUUCUUUGGGCAAUGUUAGGAUUUCCUAGAAAAUUUAAAAAUCCAAGGAUAUUUAAAGACAAUACAUGCUCUGAAGAUGAAACUAUAUGUCCACAAGGCUGGAACCAAAUCAAUAAUAAUUGCUUCUUUCAAUCUGAACAUGAAAAAACUUGGAUAGAUGGCCAAGCAAACUGCAUAGCCUAUCAUGGAUCUCUCGCCAUAUUCAACUCCAAGAAUGAAGUGGAAUCUUUGAUGCCCUAUCUGGAACCUUCUUCAUAUUGGAUUGGACUAAAGAAGCCAAAUGCAAGCGCACCCUGGGUGUGGGCAAAUGGAGAUGCAUUUGACAAUUGGUUUAAUAUUGAAGGAAGUGGAACGUGUGCCUUCAUGUUUAAGAAUGGCAUAAGCAGUGCCAGUUGCAAUGAUGCAAUAAAAUAUGUAUGCAGCAGAGAAUCCUUUUGUCCUUAGACAAAGGGUCCUUCAUAAUAAAAAAGCUUGCUCGGCUUUUUGUGAUCCACGUCUAGUUAUCUUCUUUGAUUUGGAUCAAUCACCACAGUUGCCAUGAUCACCCCAGAGCAGCAUGAUGGCAGACAUGAUAACUGGAAACAUAGGACAACAAAGAGAAGUUAUUUACCACAGUUUUACCCAAUCCUGUAACCAAGAUUGCUUUCUCUGUCUCAACCAGCACAGACCAAGGAUGGAUAGAAAUAGCUAAUAUCCUGCUGAAGUGAAUGAAGAUGUUUCUAAAUGUUUAUGCUUGGGUCAAGUUGACUUUCAGAAUCAUUACGUGUCCAGUGUGUUUCCCCAGCAUCAUCUUGAUAUUAUAGGAAAUAUACAUAGAGAAAAUCUGGAAGUGGCUUGAAGAUAAAGAGGCUGAAAGGGACUUUUGAAGAAGUGUAAAGAUUGACUGAGUCUAGCAGAAAUUUCUAUACUAGAAUAUUUUUAAUGAUAAUAUCUCUGUUUUACAAGACAAUUUCAAUUUUGAGAAAUUUUAAUUAGAAGAAUAUUUCUUUACUAAAUAUAUGUAAUGCCAGUGAUUAUUCACUUAGGAGUGGUUCAAGU